rnacentral:rRNA from 1 species
GACGAACGCUGGCGGCGUGCCUAAUACAUGCAAGUAGAACGCUGAAGAGAGGAGCUUGCUCUUCUUGGAUGAGUUGCGAACGGGUGAGUAACGCGUAGGUAACCUGCCUUGUAGCGGGGGAUAACUAUUGGAAACGAUAGCUAAUACCGCAUAACAAUGGAUGACACAUGUCAUUUAUUUGAAAGGGGCAAUUGCUCCACUACAAGAUGGACCUGCGUUGUAUUAGCUAGUAGGUGAGGUAAUGGCUCACCUAGGCGACGAUACAUAGCCGACCUGAGAGGGUGAUCGGCCACACUGGGACUGAGACACGGCCCAGACUCCUACGGGAGGCAGCAGUAGGGAAUCUUCGGCAAUGGGGGCAACCCUGACCGAGCAACGCCGCGGGAGUGAAGAAGGUUUUCGGAUCGUAAAGCUCUGUUGUAAGUCAAGAACGGGUGUGGGAGUGGAAAGUUCACACUGUGACGGUAGCUUACCAGAAAGGGACGGCUAACUACGUG